rnacentral:rRNA from 1 species
CAGUAGCCACGGUAAAACGGAGGAUCCAAGCGUUAUCCGGAAUCAUUGGGUUUAAAGGGUCCGUAGGCGGUCUUGUAAGUCAGUGGUGAAAGCCCAUCGCUCAACGGUGGAACGGCCAUUGAUACUGCAGGACUUGAAUUAUUGGGAAGUAACUAGAAUAUGUAGUGUAGCGGUGAAAUGCUUAGAGAUUACAUGGAAUACCAAUUGCGAAGGCAGGUUACUACCAAUUGAUUGACGCUGAUGGACGAAAGCGUGGGGAGCAAACAGGAUUAGAUACCCCAGUAGUCCCUGUCUCUUAUAC